rnacentral:rRNA from 1 species
UCCGUAGGCGGGCUAAUAAGUCAGGGGUGAAAUCCAACAGCUUAACUGUUGAACUGCCUUUGAUACUGUUAGUCUUGAAUUAUAUGGAAGUAGAUAGAAUGUGUAGUGUAGCGGUGAAAUGCUUAGAGAUUACACAGAAUACCGAUUGCGAAGGCAGUCUACUACGUAUAUAUUGACGCUAAUGGACGAAAGCGUGGGGAGCGAACAGGAUUAGAUACCCUGGUAGUCC